CCAAAGGGCACACUCGGUAUCAAAGCGGAUGGCAGCAAGAAAGAGAACCCAGUAUCCAUUUGGAGGACAUACUUUGCAGCCAAUGAGUGGAAUGAGAUUCAAACGUGUAGAAAAAUCAACCAUAUAUUCCAGAUCUUUGCUGUAGUUUUCUUCCUGAAUUAUGUAGGUUUUGAAAACACUGCAACUAAAGACCCGAAUGGCCAAGUGGUGAAGAGUUCUGGUGACUACCAGGCUCCCUCUGACCCGAUGUUUAGAUAUGCUAUAGCGGCGUUGGUGUAUCUACUUGUUGCGUUUGUACAGUGGUUAUUUUUCACACUGUUCUACGAGCGGUUCUUUGAGGACAAGGUUCGGGACUUUGUGGAUCUGUGCUCUAUGGCCAACAUAAGUGUUUUUAUCAUGCACCAAGCUCAGUACGGCUACUACAUCCAUGGCCGCUCCGUGUAUGGCAAGGCUGACACAAACAUGAAGGAAAUGUUUGAAAUGAUGAAGAAAGAGGAGAAAGACCUUGUGGGCCAAAGAGGGCUUCUUCCAAAUACAGAGCAGCAGACAUUUGUAAUGACACUUCCAAGGAAACUUCGUCUGAAGUAUGAGGAAGUUCUCUUGGCUGUAGCACUAGAGAGUGCUGCAGGGCCUCAAGCAGGGAAAGAGAAAGGUGGACUCACUGAAAAACAAGUGGAGGCCUACAAUAUCAUCAAUAAAUUCCUGUCCACCUUUAUUGAUCAUUCCCUGAAGAGUCUGGACUACCAGAUCCGAGACAAGACACUGUUAGAGAGCAUCAUGGACACCGAGUUUCUGGAUGCUUCAGAAAAAGGAUAUUUUUACAAUGAUAAUGGACACUCGUUUGACCAGUGCCUGUUCUAUGGGAAUGAGAUGACUCUCCUCCUCUUUGACACACUACUAUUCUGUAUCGUAGAUCUCAUCGCCAAAAAUUUUGUGUUGGCAGGAAUCAUCACAUAUAUAAUAAUAGAGAUUGUUGCAUUAAUACGAGAUCAUGGAGGAAGGAAGAAUUUAGCUAAGAAAACACUAGUGGAUGAACGGUUCCUGAUAUAGUGCUACGUGUUGCAAAUUCAGCUAGGGUUGGGAUACCUACAUGUAUACAGCGAAACCAAUCAUGACUGUCCAUGGGAACAUUCCAUUCAUUUGUGCCGUUAUUUUUACAUGUAUUUUUAAUUUAUAUUGGUAUGCUAGAAAUCUCAGACUAACCCGUCCAUAAUGAUGUUAUAUACGGUAAUGAAGUUAUACCAUAUUUGAUAUUUAUAAGUUAGUGACACAAUGUACCGUCCAUCAGUUGUUUUUAUAAAAAGAAACUACAUGAUAUUUUUACAUAGUGUAAAUGAUUUGUCACACUUGAUGCUAUGACUAGAUUUGUUGAUAGUGAUUAUUUAUUAUUCAAGUUGAUUGAUCGUAUUGAAUGAAUUAUUGUAUAACUGUAACUGUUAUACUUAAAUUAAAGAAACAAAAUGAAGAUAGGAAUAAAGAAUAUGAUCA
rnacentral:misc_RNA from 1 species